rnacentral:misc_RNA from 1 species
UACGGAGGGUGCAAGCGUUGUCCGGAAUCAUUGGGAGUAAAGGGUGCGUAGGCGGAAGCCUAAGUCGGGGGUGAAAUCUUGCCGCUUAACGGUAAAAUUGCCUUCGUUACUGGGUUUCUUGAGUUACGAAGAGGUUGGUGGAAUUCGUUGUGUAGCGGUGAAAUGCAUAGAGAUCACGAAGAACACCAGUGGCGAAGGCGGCCAACUGGUCCGAUACUGACGCUGAGGCACGAGAGCGUGGGGAGCGAACAGG